AUUGAAUGCUGGCGGCAGGCCUAACACAUGCAAGUCGAACGGUAACAGGAAGAAGCUUGCUUCUUUGCUGACGAGUGGCGGACGGGUGAGUAAUGUCUGGGAAACUGCCUGAUGGAGGGGGAUAACUACUGGAAACGGUAGCUAAUACCGCAUAACGUCGCAAGACCAAAGAGGGGGACCUUCGGGCCUCUUGCCAUCGGAUGUGCCCAGAUGGGAUUAGCUAGUAGGUGGGGUAACGGCUCACCUAGGCGACGAUCCCUAGCUGGUCUGAGAGGAUGACCAGCCACACUGGAACUGAGACACGGUCCAGACUCCUACGGGAGGCAGCAGUGGGGAAUAUUGCACAAUGGGCGCAAGCCUGAUGCAACCAUGCCGCGUGUAUGAAGAAGGCCUUCGGGUUGUAAAGUACUUUCAGCGGGGAGGAAGGGAGUAAAGUUAAUACCUUUGCUCAUUGACGUUACCCGCAGAAGAAGCACCGGCUAACUCCGUG
rnacentral:rRNA from 1 species